rnacentral:rRNA from 1 species
UACGUAGGGGGCAAGCGUUAUCCGGAUUCACUGGGCGUAAAGGGAGCGCAGGCGGCAUGGUAAGUCUGAUGUGAAAACCCGGGGCCCAACCCCGGGAGUGCAUUGGAAACUGCCAGGCUGGAGUGUCGGAGGGGUAAGCGGAAUUCCUAGUGUAGCGGUGAAAUGCGUAGAUAUUAGGAGGAACACCAGUGGCGAAGGCGGCUUACUGGACGACUACUGACGCUGAGGCUCGAAAGCGUGGGUAUCGAACAGG